CGUCACAAAUGUCGAUGUAUCGCCAUGGGAAUAAAUGUUAUUCUAACUCAGGCAUAAAACGUCCGAUCUUGCCCAAACUUCACAUGUUUGAUAAGAGUCCUGGCCUGAACACAUCUGAAGGCCAAUAUUCCAUUGGGUGUGGCAAAAUGCCUCGAUAGCGCCACCUAUACAUUUUCAACGGAGUGCGCCUCGAGCUACGUUUCACAUACAUGUACAAAAAUCGGUACACACAUGUAACACACCAAUACCUACAAAAAAGUCUCAUGGUCCGAAAUUCGAAUCCCAAUAGGAAGUCAGUUAUUUUGAAUUUUCUCUGAAAAAUUUGUGUCGUUUUUGACAUUUUCAGGGGUUGUACUUUAACGAACUCCUCCUAGAGACUUAUUCAGAUCAACACCAAACUUUGUCAGUGUAAUCUAAAGGCCUUUGCGAUGUUAAAUUGCGAAGAUCUUGAGGUUUCGUUUAAGGGCGUGUCUGUGGUGGCCUUACAAAUUUCAAUGUUUCGCCAUGAGAAAGGAAGUUGCUAUAACUCAGACAUACAAUGUCCAAUCUGCCCCAAGCUUCACAUGUUUGAGAAGACUCCUGACCUGAAUAUAUCUACAUGCCAAUAUUCAGAUAUCGCGCCACCUGCUGGCAACAGGAAGUGACAUGUUUUACGCCGUAACAAACUACUCCUAGAUAUUUUAUGACAUUUUAUAAUUUUUUUUUGGUCAGUCUAAUCUAAAGGCCUUUGCGAUGUUAAAUUGUGAACAUCUUGAGGUUUCAUUAAAGGGUGUGGCCAUGGCGCCGUGACAAAGUUUGAUGUCUCGCCAUGGGAAUAGAAGUUGUUGUAACUCAGGCAUAAGAUGUCCGAUCUUCCCCAAACUUCACAUGUUCGAAAAGAGUCUUGGCCUGAACACAUCUGAAGGUCAUUAUACCACUAUAAUCAUAGCGCCACCUGCUGACAACAGAAAAUGGCUUAUUUUACCCUAACUUAAACAUGCAAUGUCCAAUCUGCACCAAACUUCAAAUAUUUGGAAAGAGUCAUGGCCUGAAGAUAUCUAAAGGCCAAUAUUCAGUUAUAAUCAUAGCGCCACCUGUUGUCAAUAGGACACCUCAUGCCUUAUACUAACUCAAACAUUCCAUGUUCAAUCUGCACUAAAUUUCAUAUGCUUAAUAAAAGUGCUGGACUGAAGAAAUGUACAUGCUGAAAUCCAGUUAUAAUCAUAGCGCCACCAGCUGGCAGCUGGAAGAUUGGCACAUAUAAAUGACUUUGACAUAUUUCUCUUAUAUUUACCACAUUAAAUGCAUAUAUCUCGCCGUUCGCUGUUUUACAAAAGCCACCCGCUGGCGGUGAGCCCGGGUGCGAGGGCCCGUUCAUCGCUGCUUGCAGCUUUAAUUAUUAUUAUUCUUCUUCUUCUUCUUCUUCUUCUUCUCCAAAAAUGAAUCGCAUUUUUUUGAGGGCCUAAACAUGCUCGAAAAGUCCUGAAACUUUGCACACGCGUCAGACCUGGUGAAAAUUUUCGUCUGAUAUAGGUUUCAGAAGAGGGUGUGGCAAAAUGGCUCGACAGCGCCACCUAUCGUAAAAAAAUCAACAGCCCUCGAGCUGUGUUUCACGUACAUGCACGAAAAUUGGCACACAUAUGUAAAGCAUCAGUACCUACAAAAAAGACUCUUGGAGCAAUAUCCGAAACCCAACAGGAAGUCGGUUAUUUUU
ensembl:lncRNA